GAUGAACGCUGGCGGCGUGCCUAAUACAUGCAAGUCGAGCGAACAGAUAAGGAGCUUGCUCCUUUGACGUUAGCGGCGGACGGGUGAGUAACACGUGGGUAACCUACCUAUAAGACUGGGAUAACUUCGGGAAACCGGAGCUAAUACCGGAUAACAUUUGGAACCGCAUGGUUCUAAAGUGAAAGAUGGUUUUGCUAUCACUUAUAGAUGGACCCGCGCCGUAUUAGCUAGUUGGUAAGGUAACGGCUUACCAAGGCAACGAUACGUAGCCGACCUGAGAGGGUGAUCGGCCACACUGGAACUGAGACACGGUCCAGACUCCUACGGGAGGCAGCAGUAGGGAAUCUUCCGCAAUGGGCGAAAGCCUGACGGAGCAACGCCGCGUGAGUGAUGAAGGGUUUCGGCUCGUAAAACUCUGUUACUAGGGAAGAACAAACGUGUAAGUAACUGUGCACGUCUUGACGGUACCUAAUCAGAAAGCCACGGCUAACUACGUG
rnacentral:rRNA from 1 species